UACUAGAGUAGCACUCGCAUAUCAAUAAGCGGAGGAAAAGAAACUAACAAGGAUUCCCCUAGUAACGGCGAGUGAAGCGGGAAGAGCUCAAAUUUGAAAUCUUAAAGGGUUUCCCUUUACGAAUUGUAGCUUAAAGAAGUGUUUUCUGUUGAGGUUUUGGUAAAAGUUCUUUGGAAUAGGACAUCAUAGAGGGUGAGAAUCCCGUAUUUGACCUUUACUUUCAACUUUGUGAUACACUUUCAAAGAGUCGGAUUGUUUGGGAAUGCAGUCCAAAAUGAGUGGUAAAUUUCAUCUAAAGCUAAAUAUUGGCGAGAGACCGAUAGCGAACAAGUACCGUGAGGGAAAGAUGAAAAGAACUUUGAAAAGAGAGUUAAACAGUACGUGAAAUUGUCAAAAGGGAAGCGUUUGACACCAGUGUUGUUUUUCUGAAAAUCAAUUAAAGAACUGUUUAUGCUAAGUUGUUUAGACUUUAUCAGCUAUCUGUUUAGUUUUGAGCUUUUCUUUAAUGCACUUUUCAGUUAACAAGUCAACAUCAAUUUCUUUUGCUGUAAAAAAGCUUGAGGAAGGUGGCUUGAGAUUCGUCUUAAGUGUUUAUAGCCUCUUGCCUAUGCAGUCGGAGAGAUUGAGGUCUGCAGCGUAGAUCCUUCGGGGCUAAAUGCAUUUGUGCUAAGUUAUAGCAUUUUAUAGACAACUUGUUGACUAUGAUUUGUCUUGUAGCUUACUCGCUUAUGUUAUUUUACCUACGCUUAGGAUGUUGAGCGCAUGUCUCUCUCU
rnacentral:rRNA from 1 species